CCCUUAGAUGUCUUGGGCUGCACGCGCGCUACACUGAUGUGUCCAGUAAGCACCUAACCUCUUCCGAAAGGAACGGGUAACCUUUGCAAAGCACAUCGUGAUGGGGAUAGAUUAUUGCAAUUAUUAGUCUUGAACGAGGAAUUCCUAGUAAGCACAAGUCAUCAGCUUGUGUUGAUUACGUCCCUGCCCUUUGUACACACCGCCCGUCGCUCCUACCGAUUGAAUGUUCCGGUGAGCUCUUCGGACUGCGCGGUCUGCAGUUUCUGCGUUCCGUGCGGAAAGUUGCGCAAACCUUAACAUUUAGAGGAAGGAGAAGUCGUAACA
rnacentral:rRNA from 1 species